GAGGAAUAUUGGUCAAUGGACGGAAGUCUGAACCAGCCAAGUAGCGUGCAGGAUGACGGCCCUAUGGGUUGUAAACUGCUUUUGUAUGGGGAUAAAGUUAGGGACGUGUCCCUAUUUGCAGGUACCAUACGAAUAAGGACCGGCUAAUUCCGUGCCAGCAGCCGCGGUAAUACGGAAGGUCCAGGCGUUAUCCGGAUUUAUUGGGUUUAAAGGGAGCGUAGGCUGGAGAUUAAGUGUGUUGUGAAAUGUAGACGCUCAACGUCUGAAUUGCAGCGCAUACUGGUUUCCUUGAGUACGCACAACGUUGGCGGAAUUCGUCGUGUAGCGGUGAAAUGCUUAGAUAUGACGAAGAACUCCGAUUGCGAAGGCAGCUGACGGGAGCGCAACUGACGCUUAAGCUCGAAGGUGCGGGUAUCAAACAGGAUUAGAUACCCUGGUAGUCCGCACAGUAAACGAUGGAUGCCCGCUGUUGGUACCUGGUAUCAGCGGCUAAGCGAAAGCAUUAAGCAUCCCACCUGGGGAGUACGCCGGCGACGGUG
rnacentral:rRNA from 1 species